rnacentral:rRNA from 1 species
GUGUCAGCCGCCGCGGUAAUACGUAGGGUGCGAGCGUUAAUCGGAAUUACUGGGCGUAAAGCGUGCGCAGGCGGUUCGUUAAGUCAGCUGUGAAAGCCCCGGGCUCAACCUGGGAACGGCAGUUGAAACUGGCGGGCUGGAGUGUGGCAGAGGGGGGUGGAAUUCCACGUGUAGCAGUGAAAUGCGUAGAGAUGUGGAGGAACACCGAUGGCGAAGGCAGCCCCCUGGGCCAACACUGACGCUCAGGCACGAAAGCGUGGGGAGCAAACAGGAUUAGAAACCCCCGUAGUCC